AGUUCUUGCAACACCUCCACCUGAAAGACUUUACCCAACUGCAGUUAUUGAAAGGAUUAAUAAAGACUCUGUACAAGUAAAACACUCAGAACAGGCCUGGACUUCAAAUGAUUAUCUAGACCCCAGUUGGCAGUACAGUACAACACAAUCUCCUCCCUACCAAACAUUACCUUACUCGAACCCCAGCUCAGAUUGGACUCCGAUCAAGUUAAACAACAAUAACAUUGUUAAAGAUAAAGUAACAACUAGAUACAGUGAAAACUUGGGUAACAGUCUUAUAGAUGAAUAUGAGGGCGGCAGAACAAAAGAUUACACUGAUCAAUAUUAUGAAUACAAUGAUUAUGAUGAAUACAACAUAUCUGACAAUGAUUCCGAAGUAUAUGACACUAGCAAGCUUUUAACAGAAGAUCCUGAGUCUGGAGGAUAUAUUAAUAACCUGCAACCUCAAUAUAUCAAGG